AAGUUAACUGCCUGAUGAGCAACAAACACAGAGCUAGAAAGAAAAAAGUAUUUGAGGUUUAUGAAGGUCAGUUAUAUAAUGUAAAUAAAAACGCGCGUCUUGUGAGAAAAUGUCGCUGCCAAGAAAAAACAACGCACGCUAAACCAAAACAAGCUUUUCAAAUUACUCCAAUUAGCAGCAUCUGUGUUAAUUAGGCACACUGCACUGCUUUCCACACGAACCUGAACAUUCCCCUAAGAGCUCAUUUUGAGACCAUCAUAUCCUUAUAGGAGUGUCAUGAAAAGAGCUUCUAUGUCUUUUACAACAUUUAACAACAUUUAAAGGUGUAAAGGACACAAGCUGGAGUAUGCAACUUCUGGUGAUCUGAUUAGAUGACAGCUUCCAAGGAAAAGCUGACUGAGAGGACA